rnacentral:rRNA from 1 species
GACGGAGGGUGCAAGCGUUGCUCGGAAUCACUGGGCGUAAAGGGCGCGUAGGUGGUUCUGUAUGUCUACCGUGAAAGCGUACGGCUCAACCGUAUUUUGUCGGUGGAAACUGCAGGACUUGAGGCUGGGAGGGGCUGGUGGAAUUCCCUGUGUAGCGGUGAAAUGCGUAGAGAUGGGGGAGAACACUCGUGGCGAAGGCGGCCAGCUAGACCAGUUCUGACACUGAGGCGCGACAGCGUGGGGAGCAAACAGG